CCAUCAGCCUACAGUUACAGAGAUUCCGGACGCUGGGCAUGAUGGGAGCUAACUGUGAGAGUCUGUGAAUCCUAGGCAGCUGCGUUAACUGUUGCAGCGGCAACGUCUUUCUAGUCUGUCUGUCUGUCAGUAACUAUGUGCUGGGUUCUGCUGCAUGUCUGCGGUUGACCACUGGAAGGAGGUGCAGAAGCUGCAGUAACAGCCGUGAUUCCAGCAAGGUCUGCCCUCAGUGUUCUACCUGGCUGAGAUGCUCCAAUGACGCCCGAGAUGAGAGCAGCCUGGCGUAGCUGCUACAACUGGGGGAUUCUCGGUUCUUUCUGGACACCGGUGUCUCAAGUUCCAAGGCCAGCUCUUCUGAGGCGAAGGUGGACCCCUCUCUGA
rnacentral:lncRNA from 1 species